GUACUGUUUUCACAUGGAUUGGGAUGAGUAUUGCAAAAGAUACCAACAGGAAUCCAAUGAAAAGGACAACAGCUUUGUUACUAAGAGCUGCAGCCACCUCAAACAUUUGGCAAAAGCCUUAUUCUAAAAUUUCAUCCAACUGCAAGAAGGGACCAUUGAGCCUUUCGACAAAUUCAAAUAGAGCGCAGCCACCCAAUAUCGUUCAGGUGGAAUCGCAACUUUUGACAGAGUUUCAUCCGACUGCAAUAGAUAAGGAGGGACCGUUCAGCCUUGCGACAACUUCAAGCAAACAGAGCGUAUACUAUCAAAUGUCGUCCUGGCGGAGUAGGAACUUCCGACUCGGUUGGACGUGGAG